rnacentral:rRNA from 1 species
AUUGAACGCUGGCGGCAGGCCUAACACAUGCAAGUCGAACGAGUGGCGGACGGGUGAGUAAUGUCUGGGAAACUGCCCGAUGGAGGGGGAUAACUACUGGAAACGGUAGCUAAUACCGCAUACCAUCGGAUGUGCCCAGAUGGGAGUAGCUUGUAGGUGAGGUAACGGCUCACCUAGGCGACGAUCCCUAGCUGGUCUGAGAGGAUGAGCAGACACACUGGAACUGAGACACGGUCAAGACGCCGACGGGAUGCAGCAGUGGGGAAUAUUUCACAAUGGGCGCAAGCCUGAUGCAGCCAUGCCGCGUGUAUAGAGCAGGCCUUCUGGUUGUAUAGUACUUUCAGCGGAGAGGCGUUACCCGCAGAAGAGGCACCGGCUAACUCCGUGCCAACAGCCGCGGUAGUAC